GAAACCUAAAUCUAUGCAUGGCAAGUGAACAAUCUGUCAUCAGAGGAAAAGCAUGAUGAUUCAACUUGCUAAAGGUCAGGAAGGACAAGGACAAAGGACUGUGGGGGAGAGAGAAGGAGCUGACCAGAGAAGAUCCCUGUUUUCCUGGAACUCCUAGGUUGAUGGACCCAGACUGGAUGGAGAGGGCGGAGGAGAAGAGCGAGGGUCGCUUUGCCCUUUUAAAGAGCCAGAUCCAUGUGGUGCUAGAAGGAGGAGAGCAGGGGGAGAUCAUUGAUUGGUUCCCGUCAGGAAGUUCCUAGAGAUCACAGGCUCAGUCACGGGGCAGCUGAUGUUUAAUCUUCAUAAUCACCGUUGAAAGAAAAAUUAGACAUCUGCCGUCAGGGAAACUGGAAAGUCAAUUAAGCACUAAUCAGGAACAGUGGGAAAGGAACAGGCCUGUCCCCUUGUCUCUAUCAACCUGAAA